UGAGUAAUGCGUGACCAACCUGCCCCAUGCUCCAGAAUAGCUCUUGGAAACGGGUGGUAAUGCUGGAUGCUCCAACUUGACGCAUGUCUUGUUGGGAAAGUGUUUAGUGGCAUGGGAUGGGGUCGCGUCCUAUCAGCUUGUAGGCGGGGUAAUGGCCCACCUAGGCUUCGACGGGUAGCCGGCCUGAGAGGGCGGACGGCCACAUUGGGACUGAGAUACGGCCCAGACUCCUACGGGAGGCAGCAGA
rnacentral:rRNA from 1 species